rnacentral:rRNA from 1 species
GCCCGCGGCGAUAGCACGUUGAAUUCAUCAGUUAUAUGGACUCACUGAUGUUAAGCAACGUCGCUCGUGGUUGGUAUCCGGAUGGGUGACCAUCUGGGCAAUCGUGUGUCCAAGUU